rnacentral:misc_RNA from 1 species
AGCUGCAUGCCCAACAGCAGUAACCUGCAGGAGAUAAAUUAUCCUUUCAAUCCACUAGAAGAUGUAAAUCAUAACUAUACGAUGAAGCACUGAAAUAUGUUUUUAAGAUUUUAUGAAUGCAUAUGUGAAACCAUUUGGAUGAUCUUCAUCUAAUCCACUUACUUUCCCUUCACAAUAGUAAGUUGCAUUACAAUGGAAGAAGCCCAGUGGCCAAAUGCCUGCCUUAUAGUGCAGGAGGUUAGUGAUAACCUUGGCAACUUCAGAAAGCUAGCUAUUGAUACGAACUUAGGAGAACCAUACCCCAAAAGCUAGCUAUUGAGGUUGAGGAGGGAUACAAGUUUUCUUGCAAUGGGAUCGUAACAUUCCACCACACUCCGCAGCCCUGGCGCCUACACAGGCUGGCUUUGUGCUAGUUUAAUCUAGCCCUAGGCGAACACUUAUUCUGGCAUCACCACCUGCGCCGCACGAUUGCAACUGGGAGUCAUAGUGGACGGCUCUAAUACCAUUGAUACAAACUUAGGAGAACCACAUCCCAAAAGCUAGCCAUUGAGGUUGGAGAGCCAACUCCAUAUAUACACCAC